UCUCCGUAGGUGAACCUGCGGAGGGAUCAUUACUGAGUGAGGGCCUCCCCGGCCCGACCUCCAACCCUUUGUGAACACAACUUGUUGCUUCGGGGGCGACCCUGCCGCUUCGGCGGUGCGGCGCCCCCGGAGGUCUUCUAAACACUGCAUCUUUGCGUCGGAGUUUAAAACAAAUUAAACAAAACUUUCCACAACGGAUCGCUUGGUUCUGGCAUCGAUGAAGAACGCAGC
rnacentral:misc_RNA from 1 species